rnacentral:rRNA from 1 species
UACGUAGGGCGCAAGCGUUGUCCGGAAUUAUUGGGCGUAAAGAGCUCGUAGGCGGUCUGUUGCGUCGGCUGUGAAAACCCGGGGCUCAACUCCGGGCCUGCAGCCGAUACGGGCAGACUAGAGUUCGGCAGGGGAGACUGGAAUUCCUGGUGUAGCGGUGAAAUGCGCAGAUAUCAGGAGGAACACCGGUGGCGAAGGCGGGUCUCUGGGCCGAUACUGACGCUGAGGAGCGAAAGCGUGGGGAGCGAACAGG